AUGGCUCCGAUUGGCGUGGGCAGCACCCUCCCCGACGGCCAGCUCGCGUGGUUCGACGAGAGCGAACAGAUGCAGCAGGUCUCCAUCCACUCCCUGGCCGCCGGCAAGAAGGUCAUCCUCUUCGGCGUCCCUGGCGCCUUCACCCCCACCUGCAGCAAUCAGCAUGUACCAGGCUUCAUUACUCAGGCCGAGGAGCUCAAAGCCAAGGGUGUAGAUGAGAUCCUGCUUGUCAGCGUUAAUGACCCCUUUGUCAUGAAAGCAUGGGCGAAGACAUACCCAGAUAACAAGCAUGUGAAGUUCCUUGCUGAUGGAGCGGCAGCAUACACAAAAGCACUUGGUCUUGAGCUUGAUCUUAGUGAGAAAGGAUUGGGUCUCCGUUCGAGGCGGUUUGCUCUCCUUGCUGACGACCUCAAGGUCACCGUCGCAAACGUCGAGGAAGGUGGCCAGUUCACAAUCUCUGGUGCCGAGGAGAUCCUCAAGGCACUGUAG
rnacentral:rRNA from 1 species